rnacentral:rRNA from 1 species
UAUGUGGUUUAAUUCGAUGCAACGCGAAGACCUUACCUGGUCUUGACAUCCCGGAGACCCUUAGGAAACUAGGGGGUGCUUCCAUCUGGAAGAAUCUGGAGACAGGUGCUGCAUGGCUGUCGUCAGCUCGUGUCGUGAGAUGUUGGGUUAAGUCCCGCAACGAGCGCAACCCUUGCCUUUAGUUGCCAGCAGUUCGGCUGGGCACUCUAAAGGGACUGCCGGUGUUAAACCGGAGGAAGGUGGGGAUGACGUCAAGUCCUCAUGGCCUUUAUGACCAGGGCUACACACGUACUACAAUGGCCGAUACAAAGGGCAGCGACACUGCGAGGUGAAGCCAAUCCCGUAAAAUCGGUCUCAGUCCGGAUUGGAGUCUGCAACUCGACUCCAUGAAGUUGGAAUCGCUAGUAAUCGUGGAUCAGCAUGCCACGGUGAAUACGUUCCCGGGCCUU